rnacentral:rRNA from 1 species
GCUAUUUAGGUAGCGCCUCGUGAAUUCAUCUCCGGGGGUAGAGCACUGUUUCGGCUAGGGGGCCAUCCCGGCUUACCAACCCGAUGCAAACUGCGAAUACCGGAGAAUGUUAUCACGGGAGACACACGGCGGGUGCUAACGUCCGUCGUGAAGAGGGAAACAACCCAGACCGCCAGCUAAGGUCCCAAAGUCAUGGUUAAGUGGGAAACGAUGUGGGAAGGCCCAGACAGCCAGGAUGUUGGCUUAGAAGCAGCCAUCAUUUAAAGAAAGCGUAAUAGCUCACUGGUCGAGUCGGCCUGCGCGGAAGAUGUAACGGGGCUAAACCAUGCACCGAAGCUGCGG